AGAGUUUGAUCCUGGCUCAGAGCGAACGCUGGCGGCAGGCUUAACACAUGCAAGUCGAGCGGACGUAGCAAUACGUCAGCGGCAGACGGGUGAGUAACGCGUGGGAACGUACCUUUUGGUUCGGAACAACACAGGGAAACUUGUGCUAAUACCGGAUAAGCCCUUACGGGGAAAGAUUUAUCGCCGAAAGAUCGGCCCGCGUCUGAUUAGCUAGUUGGUGAGGUAACGGCUCACCAAGGCGACGAUCAGUAGCUGGUCUGAGAGGAUGAUCAGCCACAUUGGGACUGAGACACGGCCCAAACUCCUACGGGAGGCAGCAGUGGGGAAUAUUGGACAAUGGGCGCAAGCCUGAUCCAGCCAUGCCGCGUGAGUGAUGAAGGCCCUAGGGUUGUAAAGCUCUUUUGUGCGGGAAGAUAAUGACGGUACCGCAAGAAUAAGCC
rnacentral:rRNA from 1 species